rnacentral:rRNA from 1 species
AUACAGGGCUUAAAGUCUUGUAAUUGGAAUGAUGGGAAUCUAAACCCUUCCCAGAGUAUCAAUUGGAGGGCAAGUCUGGUGCCAGCAGCCGCGGUAAUUCCAGCUCCAAUAGCGUAUAUUAAAGUUGUUGCAGUUAAGAAGCUCGUAGUUGAAUUUCUGCCUUGUCAUUAAUCUCGCUUCCGAGCGUUUUUUUAUUGACUUGGCAUCUUCUGGAUUUGGUGCCUUCGGGUACUAUUUUCCAGGAUUUACUUUGAGAAAACUAGAGUGUUUCAAACAGGCAUUCGCCUUGAAUACUACAGCAUGGAAUAAUGAAGUAGGACUUUGGUUCUAUUUUGUUGGUUAUUGAGCCAGAGUAAUGGUGAAUAGGAGCA